UUAUCAUAAUUCAGCCAAAUUAUAGCUAAUGAGCUGCAAAUCAUAUAUAAAGGUGACAGCCAGCAGGCUAAACCCUUUUAGGGGCCAGGGACCUGAAGGAGAGCGGAAUGCUGCAGGACACCUGGAAGAAAGAAGACACUCACAGACCUGCAGCAACCACACCAGCAGAACCCUGCUGGUUUUUCUAGGAAGAGGAUUGAAAAAGGAGAAGAGAAGGUUGAAAACAGAGAGGUUUGGAACAGAAGAGAACAGAGACAGAAUGAUGGAGAAGAGAGGAACUGGGAGUGUGUUUGCAGUGAUGAAUGUUUAUAACAACAUGACCCAAGGAAUUUCAUCCUCCCCUGGAACAUUGUGUAGGAGAUCUUAAUGGACAAAGAAAAACGUCUGCUGGGUUGUAGCCAAAAGCUUGCACUUGCUUUUUAAAAAAAAAAAAAUCAUGUUUAACCUUCUGGUAUUGUGUACAACACAGGUUUUUUAACAAAAUAUUCACUUCUCAGUUUACAACCUAAAAUGGAAUCAAUGAAAGAGGAAUGAGCUCUUCGCUUGCUUUUAUGGCAAAUCUCUUAAUCAUGACAAGUUUAAUUCUGCCUCUUGACCAGAUGCCUUACAAGGCUGUACUGCUCAGUUUGUGCUUGUACAAAUACCCAUAAGUGGUAAAAUUAAAUUAGGGGAAGAUUGAAAGAAAAAAAACUGAUGAUUUUUAUUUGCAGGUGCCAUGUUCCUGAAACGUCAAACAAUGGUGAAAAUUUGAAACCCAGUUUUCACCCAGGAAAAACUUCCAUUGACUUGAAUAAAAGCUUCUCCUGAGUAUGAAGUGAUGCCCCAAUUCAGCAAAGCACUUAUGUCAAUGGGGGUUAAACAUUCGCUUAAGGGGUUUGUUGAAUCAGGGCCUGAAUAAGGACUUCAGGAUUUGGCUGAAUCUGAUUUUAUAUGAUGCAGGGGUUUGGGCAAAACUAAACUUUACUGUAAGAUAACUGCCAUUUGUCCUGUUUUGGCAUGCUAAUUCAUUCCAGUGUCUUUAUUGUGAAGAAAAUAAAUACAUUCAAAGCUGGAUUGAGGCAUAGAUAAUAUAUAGGAAUAGGGCCUAAACUCCUUGUGUCCUGAUUAAUUCAGAAUCUCUGCUUUCAUUUAAAAAAAAUGCAAGCAUCUAGCACUCAUGACUGUGAAGAAAAGUUUGAAACGUGAUCUGAGCAUAACUGAUGCAGCUAUGUGUGUCCAGUGUGCAGUCCGCCUGAAAUAACAGCUUUAAAUGUGGUGAACUGCCCCAUGUAUCUCAAUGGAUUGUUACCCUGAGUGGGUCUUGGAGUUGUGGGGUCAGGGGAGGUCUAUCAACACCAGCCCAGCAUAGCACUGUGUGUGCAGGAAGACUAAAAAUGCAGCAGCCCUGGUCCCCCAACUAAGUGGACACCCCUUGCUGCUGGAGUAAGUAGUGCACUCCCCACUUCUGCCUGUCUCCAAGGGUGAGAGAGGACCCAAGAGCAGGGUACGCUUCCUGCAGCUCCUGGAAUGAAGAAGGAUGCCCCUUGCUGCUGCCCUUGCCCGUGCGCCUGUGAGAGAGGAUCUCAAUUAGAGCUGUGCCAGAACUGGAAUUUUUCUCUUGCAGAAAAUUUCACAUUUAAAAAAAUACAUCUAUUCCAAAUUGGAACAAAAGGUCAGCUAUGUAAAAACCAUUUCAGCUCUCCUGUGAAAGGAAAUUUCAAAAAUUUCUGGUCCCAUCAUCUUGGGCUCCCAUUUCUAGCACACUGCCUGGCUAACUUCUGAGGAGCUUGGGAGCCCUGAAGGCUCCUGAGGUGGGCUGUGGAAGUGGCAGGAAACCAGGCAGGUUUCUAUCCAAAGUUUUGUUGAAAUCAACACAUUCCCACAGUUUUGGAUGAAUCUGCAUUUUCUGAUUGGAAGUUUUCCAAUGGAAUGUUUUUCCAACCAGCUCAAGCCUUCAUCACUACCAUACCUAAUGUGGGAAAGGAAGAGCCAUAGUGUAAGGCAGGAUCAUGGCGGGGGGGGGGGGGGGCUAUAAGGGGCCUUGCUGUAUAGUGUGCCUCGCAUCCUGGCUUGCCUUAAAAGUAUAUUCAGGGCUGGACUAACAAUGUAAGGUUGCCCAUCCAAAAUUAGAUAUGCUCACUCAAUGCCAUGUAGCUAUUGAAAUACUACAGGCAGCUUGAUCGUUGUUUUUAACAAACAAAGGGUGCCUGUUAGUAACAUUAUACUUCAUUUAUUAAACCCCCCCCCCCCUUUUCUUUUCAUUAGACUUUGUCUUUUUU